UUGGGCUUAGUGUUCGAGUCAGUAAUCUCUCAACCUGAAGGUCGAGGGUUUGAUCCCCAGCUCCUGCAGUCUCAUGUUGAAGUGUCCAUGGGCAAGACAAUGAACCCCAAUUUGCUCCUGCUGCUGUGUCGGCGGCGUGUGAAUGGGAUUAGUUAAUACUGAUGGACAUUUUACACAGCGGCCUCUGCUGUCAGUGUGUAAAUGUGGUGUGAAUGGGUGAAUGUGACCUGCAUUGUAAAAAGUGUUUCGAGUCGUCUCAAGACUAAGAAAGUCCAUUUACCAUUUACCAACAGGUAAAACUUGAAAUGUGUAGCAGCAACUCAGGAAGAUUUUAGGGUCAGGCUCUCUUGAAACUUUGUAGAAAUGUAGGAAUAGUGUUUGUGUACAAUCCUCUCACAUAGUAAAAAAUAGGAAACAGUAGCUCAAAACUCACUGGUUUAAAUGAUUCUAUUCUGAAACCAAACUACUGCAUUGUGCUGAGUGACGCAGAGGCUGACAGAGUAAAUCAUACACACAAGAGCCAGAAGUGUUUUUUUACUGACAGUCACUUCAUCAUUAUUCACAGGAUAAGCCUUUGUCUGCUUUGUUUUAGUGACCAUGUUAAAUCAGCUCAAAACAGAUGGGUGCUGUCUCCUUGCCAAGCCUUUUCUUUUCGGGAGCUAUGUGUGUGUUCUGUGUGCGUGUGCGUGUGUAGGUAAGCAGACAGGGUUUAUUCAUGUUGCUGAUCUCCUUCUACAUUUGUGUGUGUGGCUAAUUACAGCUAAGAAGUAUGCACGAAAACCUGCCCUUCCUCUUUGGCUGUCUAACUGUCCAGCUGUCGAAUGUGCAGACCCAUGUGUGUGAGUGUAUUUGCGUGUAUACGUGUGUCCUCUGGUUUGCAGAUGUCCUCGGGUUGUUGUCCUGCCAGUAACGAGAGGGGUUUUCGGGAAACAAAGUGGAGGGGAGGACAGCCGGGGACCGGAGAGUCCAUAAGGUGCAAUCCACAGGGAAGUUUGUGUAUGCGUGUUCCAAACCUGAUCUUGGAUGAUGUCAUGUGCAGCUGCUGCGUGGCUGACAGACAGUUUCCGCACCACAACAUGGGGCCCUAUGGUCGGCCUGUCAGGCUGACGGACAGGUGAAUGACACCAAUGAGAGCCAGCCGUCCCUCCCCCUAGGAGCCAGGCACUGAGUGACAGCAAGUAAGAAGCCAGAAAAGGCGUCUCUGAACCUGAAAGUAAUCUCUUUAACUCUCUCUUUCUGUUAUUCUGCUCGGCUCUUCGCUCUUUCUCCUUUUUCUUGGCCUCUCUUUCCUCUUCCUCCCUCUGGCUCUCCCUCUUCUUCCCAGCCUCUUUUUUUUUUUAAAACUAUCCCUCUCUUUUUCUGUCUUUCUCUGUGGGCAUUUUUCUCGUCCACUGAAGGCCUCUGUCUUUCUUCACUGUCUCUCCUCCUCCCCUCACUUUCUGCCUUUCACUCCGUCUGUUAACGCUCUGUGCUGUUUUCUAUCAUCGUGUCACAGACUCUUAAGGAACAGCUUGACUGCCUCUUGGUUCUGUUUCAGUCAAAACUGUGGUGAAAAGUGUUUAAACCCGAGUCUACAGCGCUGUGCGGGGUUCAGCUGCACGGCAGGAAAAGGUUGGAGAUCGCUUUGAGCUCUCUGUGUGGGUGUCUGAGAUGACCUUAGACCUCCUCUGACCCGCCGACCAGCAGAGAAACCGGCUGUCCAACUGGGAGCAAAGAGAAGGCCUGGAGCCUCCUCCCAUGACUCCCCGCCUCUACUUAGGAGCUCCUCCUCCUCCACAAGCAGAGGAGAAGUGUGUUAGAGCGCCGCCUGGUGGACGGCACCCUUUAUUAAUGUGCAUAAUGCUGUUCAAAGACGUUAUUCUGUAAGGAAUGCCAUCAAAAAGUAAAAUAAAUCAUAAACAAAAAGUGAUGUGGAAAUUGCAGAUUCCAAAAGAAAUAACAGAAUAAUGACAAAAAAAGUCAAGAUUAAGAAAGAGAAAUAGAACAGAGGCUCUUAAAAACAAAUCUAUAAACUUUGGAUUCAAUCAUCCAAACGUAGACUGCCAUCUAGUGGACUUAAAUGUUAACUGUGACAGAAGUUUAAGAGGAAAAAAGUUCAUUUUUUUUCUAAUUAAGUGAUACUCAUCAGCAUGUAAUGAUGUAUUGUAAAGAUGACAAUGUGAUUAAACAGAGCUUUAGUAAACUA